rnacentral:rRNA from 1 species
AACGAACGCUGGCGGCAUGUCUAACACAUGCAAGUCGAACGAGACCUUCGGGUCUAGUGGCGCACGGGUGCGUAACGCGUGGGAACCUGCCCUUAGGUUCGGAAUAACUCCCCGAAAGGGGUGCUAAUACCGGAUAAUGUCUUCGGACCAAAGAUUUAUCGCCUUUGGAUGGGCCCGCGUUGGAUUAGCUAGUUGGUAGGGUAAAAGCCUACCAAGGCGACGAUCCAUAGCUGGUCUGAGAGGAUGAUCAGCCACACUGGGACUGAGGCACGGCCCAGACUCCUACGGGAGGCAGCAGUGGGGAAUAUUGGACAAUGGGCGAAAGCCUGAUCCAGCAAUGCCGCGUGAGUGAUGAAGGCCUUAGGGUUGUAAAGCUCUUUUACCCGGGAUGAUAAUGACAGUACCGGGAGAAUAAGCUCCGGCUAACUCCGUG